rnacentral:sRNA from 1 species
AUCCAUGGCGGUUUUGGGCCCAGGAUGGCUGCAUUGGCCGGCGGCGCAAGGGUUUGAGGGCGGCGGCGCCGGCGAGGCGGCGAGCUCCACCGGCGAAGCACCCCCACCGUGACGGCGGAUCCGGGCCUCCGAGGUCCGCGCUGCGCGAGCGCGCGCGCGCGGGGUCGAACCUCGCCUAGCUGGACGAAAGAAGGGGGGAAGCACACCGCAGUUUUUCCAGAUUCUGUAGGUGCCAUGUUCUCCCAUUGAGUUCGAUGUGUGUCAGACUCUGCAGCGUACUGACCCCUGAAAGCUCCUCCAUGUGAGUGAAGGACCAAACUAUCUUUUCAAGUUUAUCAGGGUCUCCACCAUAAGUAUUAUUACCCAAGGCGACACUGUUAACAAUAUCAUCUUCAAUGACAAGAUCCACAAGUUCCACAAACUUCACGAAGCUCAGAGCGCCUUCUGCGAAUGAAUGGUAGCAAAGCCUGAGAUAGCGUAGGCCUUUGAGCAUGCUAAGUAUAUCGAGGGCACCCUGAUUCAAAAAGGUGUCACGUAGAGUUAUCUUGGCAAGCUGAUGGAGCUCCUUGAUCCUGGGAGGCAACCCGCUUCUGAUGCUGCAGAUGUGUAGGCUCUCCAGAAGCUUUGGAGGUCUCAAUAAAAUAACAUCAAUAGAAUCCCAGUUACCUGGUGGAUCCAUUCGGAUUGAUAAGGACCGAAGACAUCUGUGGAGUUUGUCAACCUGAAGGAACAAAUCUAUCAAGCUAGCUUUCUUGCCAGAUAGAACCACACCCAACUUCUUUAGGUGCUCGAGCUUGUCACCAAUGUUGUUCAGUUCUUUAGCACUGUUCGAAACCUUGACACGGGACAAUAUCUCCAUCUUUUCCAUAGUUGCAACAGCACGAGGCAUGGAAACCGUGGAGAAUGAUUCCUUGGACUUGAUGAUGUCUUCCUUUGGGUAGUCAAUAAUGCAACCAGCAAGCAGGUGCUUUAGCAUUGGUAGCGCCGUGUGGAACACUUGUACCCUUGUUCCUCGGAUGUCAAGUGUCUCUAAGAGCUUGAGCUGACCUAUUUCCUUGGGCAGUUGGGCAAUAUCUGUGUUCCGGAGACUUAGAUACUUGAGUUUAUGAAUCUUGCAUACGGUAUGGAGGUCGCCUGCCUUGAGGCCCUUGCGACCUUCCAAAUCAAGUACUGUCAGCAGCAACCUUGAACUGCUGGAAAGUGAGUUCAAGAACUUUUUGAUAUUAGAGUUUGCCGGAUGGAGUUGCAUGCCGUGCCGGAUUGAGUAGAGGAGAUCCAAGUCAAGUGGCAGCUGGUUGUUGAGCAAUAGGUCCUCAACUGUCGAAGACUCCCUGCUGAUCAAGCCAGAAACUACUGGAUGCACGGUGCAGCUCUUUACCUUGCGUGUACCACUAAGACCAGAAGAAACAAUAAGCUUCUGGCUGUGCAUGGCUUCGAAACAGUGCCCGGCUUCGUCCUCUGCACUUGACUGGUUCACUUGGGCUAUCAAGCCUUGGGCAAUCCAUCGUCUUAUUAAACUUGCCCUUCGGACGCCGCUUCCACGGGCGAAAAUGGUUGAAUACCAUAAGCAGUUCUUGUAACUAUUUGGCAGUGCUUGGUAGCAGAAGGCCAUUAUUCGGUCCUGUCUCCCAUGAUCUGUAAAUUCUUUACCAAGGCUUAUAUUCAGGAACUGCAGUUGGUGUUUCGUC